GGGUUAUAGAGAAGAGGGGAGAGACCAGGCUCAGGGAACCUCUAGCAACCAUCCUCGGACAAAGUGGAAAAGGUGCUAAUACCUGGCCCGAAAAGGGAAUUAUAAUUG
rfam:Bacteroides sp. SM23_62 WORSMTZ_6211, whole genome shotgun sequence.